UAGCUCGGUAGGGCAGCAAGUACAUCUUCUGCGACGUCUUGAAACAGCGUGUGUGAUACAGUAUAUUCAUUCAGGAAUACGACAGUGGCAUUGCAGUUGCAGGUGUACGGGGCUACAGGCACAGACCUCGUCCCGGUCCGCGGGUUGGGGCAUUUGAUCGGGAUAAAAUUGUCCUUCAUGAUCAGGCUUAAAUCUUCUACUUAUUUUGUCUUUAUGAAUUACAGUAAGUUUUAAACCAGCCACAGCGAACACGCUGAUGCAUGACUGUAAAAAUCCGUGGAAUGGCAGCUGUGACCUGUGAGAGAGGUAAAAGACGAAACUGUUCAGACAAAGAAAGACACAAGAUGAAUUCAGAUUCAAAGUAAAGGGCAGAAAAACAAUCAUAGUGUCAGGAUUCACUCCAAUUUAAUACGCCCACUUGCCGGCUAGAGCUCUCAUACUGUGAUAGCAAUCGUUAAUAUUACAGGUGUAGUUUGAAACAAUAGACACGGAAAAGCAUAACCAGCUAUAAUUUGCAAAUCCGGCUGUUGAAAAGAAUAAUGCCUAAACAAAAUUACUCCUUGGUAACAAAACUACAAGCCCCGAACCCGGGUGAUAUGUAAGUAUGGGUGGUAAUAGUCUUUAGAUUUUACAACAUAAAAUUUAGGUCGAAUCAGUUUAGAUUCUAUUCCUAUUUUUUAACUAAAAUUAAUAAAAACUAUAAUUUACUAUGAAAAAGUAUUUAGAUGGUGAUCCACUUCACCGGAGCUGGAGCUAGAGCCAGCUCAUCAGAGAGGACUGUGGCUGGCAUCUUCUCUUGGAUGAAAGCAGUGGCCUAGAUUGUCAGGCUGUCAGGUAUUGAGGUAACUAACCUAUUGGUAAAAAUAAUUUCCACCAAUAUGGAACAAAAAUCCCAUCAUGGUAAAAGACUAAAAGUGAACCGCGUCCCUAGGAUCCAUCUUGCUCACCCAUUUCUUCCACAGUCGAAGCACUCCCCGCCUUCCCCCAUUUUUCAACGGUUGGUAGACUGUAAAUAAAAAUCAUAAGCUAAUGACCCCUCAACAAGCUAUAUAUUUAAAAAAAUCCUGGAGCCGAACCAAAUCUCUCUCCUCCCUAACCCCCAAGCCGGUGUGCUGCCCCAGCACCAGCAGCAGCUAUUCGAGCUCAACCAUCCAAAACUCCCAGGGCGCUAGCUCUUCGUUGAUAAAAACACCCCUGCUUCCCUUCCUGCCUGCACACCACAUCUCAAUCUUUGCUGCGAGCUCCCGAUCUGUGGUACUUCCGGCAUCGCGAACUGAAGUUUACCACCGAUCCGUUGGCUCCUUGGCAUUCCUUUUCCUCCAGCAGCGGCAAAGUCUCCAUCUUUUUGCCAGCCGACUUGAGGAAUGGGGUGCAUGACGCUGCUUGGAGUAGACGCAAGCUUUAUGGAAGGUCAGAUUCUUGUUUUUCAUUAAUCCAUUGAUGUAUGGAGCUGGUCGGCUGUUGAAUCGGUCCCUGUUUCUGUUUCUUUUUCGUUCAUAAUUUUUAAAAAAUACUUCAUCUGGUUAUUAGAUGCGUAUCGUUUGUAUUUAUAUAGCUUCCAAUUGGUUACAUGCAUGCAGUUUGAUUUGAAUCCAUCGGUUCUCGAUACGCAUCCUUGUUUCUGUUUCUUGUUCUUAGUUUCGUUCACAGUUUUUUUUAGAAAAAACCCGGGCCUUUUCGUUUUACUUUAUUUGAUUAGAUGCGUAUUGCUUUUUUCAUGUGGGUAUAUGUAAUGAAUCGAUUUCGAUUGACAUGGAUCUCAAUAGACCUCGUAGUUCAUCCUCUCUUCUUUUCUCUCGAAGGAUAAGUUACAUACACAAUCCAAUCUCCAUUACGAUAUUUGGUCCUUAACUACCCAGAUUUCUGAGCAUACUCGUGGUUCUGCUUCUGCAGAAUUCUAGUACUUCAUUCCCAACAAGCAAUCAGAUAAAAACGAAAGGAGCAACUUCAACAGAACCUGCGGCUCCAGUGAUUGGACCGACCGAUAUUUGCAAACUGCUGAAAUUGAAUCCAUGGGUAGAGGAAGAGGAAGAGGGAAGAAGCUAACCACUGUCAGGAGCCACGAAGAUAAAGGUAGCAGCGGCGAAGAAGUUGUGCCUGCAAAAAAGAGGAGGGGAAGGCCCCAAAAGCGCUUCGCCAGUAAGAUCGAUCAGGCAGUCGAUGUUGAAAAUUUUGUAGAAAAGGUGGACGGCGACCAAGAAGAAGCUGACGAUGGCAAGCUGAAGAACAGCGCCGCAGCUGGCGGUAACAAGAGAGGCAGGCCGUUGAAAGAGGGCUCCAAUAUUGUCGUAGAAGAUAACAACUCUAUUGUCCCAUCGAGCAGUGAUGAAUCAACAAGGACCAACGGGUUCAGGCAGAUCGGGAGCCGGCGGAAAAACAAGCCCCGGCGAGCAGCAGAGGCAGGACUAGAAUGCAAGUGAAGCAUCCCUGCGAGUUUCAGUGCAAGGCAGCAUCCAAUUUUUUUGCAAUAUCGUCAUGUCUAUUAGCUCCCAGUCCCAGUGCUGAAAAGCGAAAUGUAAACUAGCAUUGUCUGAUUGCAUGCCUCAGUUUUUUUCCCCCUUGGCCCCAAGUGUAUGAACUAAUGGUACACCUACUUGUUCAGCUGCUCUAGGCCUGAUUCUAUUUGGAGCUUGUUGUGGCAGAGAUUUCAUCUCAGUUUACAAAGGCUAGUGAUGCUAGAAGGUGUUCCUGCCAUUUUGAGUGAUCUGGUCUUCUCCUUUGCUCUUACUGCAACUAUUCAUUUAUUUGUACUUCACUAAAGUUCUGGAAAUGAAAAGGAGCAUAAGUGCUGACUUGAGGAUCUGUUAUCUGCUGUUCUUAGGUCGCUAAACUAAUAUCUAAACGUAUAUAGUUUGCUUGGCUAAUCUGGUUACUUGAUCUAGGAUUAUCUUGUAUGGAUAAGGAUUUACAUUUACCAUAUCUGAGUACAUUUAGCUCAACUUGGAUUGGACUCGGAUUUCAUCAUUUAUAUUCAUGAAUGCGAAAAUAACCUUUAAGACCCGUUUGUUUCGUUGGAAUUAAAUUUCAUUCUAAUAAUCAUAAUUUAGACACAAACUAAUUAAAUUAAUAUAUUUGUAUAUGUAAUAUAUUUGAUUGUUAUUCUAAAUCAUAUGAGAGAGAUAACUGCAUUUAUGCUAUAGAAAAAUAAGUAGAAGAGUGUGCUAUGAGUUGUAUAUUAGAAAAGUAGCUUGUAAAUAUGUAAAAUUAAUUUUUAUCUCUCACCUAUUAAUUUGAGAUAUGCUUAGACUGUCUCUAUCUAUUCUCUAUAUAUCUAUCAUUUACAGUCUUCUCUAAAAAAUUCAUCAUCUAUAUAUCUUUUCUCUUCAACAACGUCCUCUAAAUCACAUCAUCUAUACGCAAAUACUCAUAUUAAAGACAUUUUUUUGUGUACAUACGUAUUUGUCAUAUUCUCAAAUCAUAUUCUCAAAUGUACUGUAUAUAUUUUAAUUUUGCUAAACUGGUUGUUUAAAAUAUUCAAACGGAUAGACCGAUAGAGGGACAUUUAGAGAAACUCUAUAUGUAAAGUAGCUAACAACGUUCUCUAAAUUUAGAGAACUAUUUAGAGGACGUUGCUGGAGGUAGUAGAGAACCAUUCAACCCUCUAUAUUUAGGAUAGAGAAGCCUUUACAGUCUCUGUUGAAGAGAACCUUAUAUAUAAACUUAGAAAGUUGUGUAAUGUCAUAUUCUAAAAAAUAGACAACUCCAUUCCAAUUCCUUAAAAUAAAGUAAACAAAGGUUUAAGAUAGAUGCCUAUAGAUUUGUACUAGUACACCGUUCGAUUCGAAUUCGAUGCCUAUUUCAGGCUUCGUAAGAAUGGAAGGCAUCAGUGUUCAGUGGAAUUUGAUCCUUCGUUCUUUUCAGGAAACUGAAUUUGAUCAGGCAUCAGUGUUCAAUGGAAUUUGAUCCUUCGUUCUCUUCAGGAAACUGAAUUUGAUCUUUCGUUAUUUGAAUUAAAACGCAAGAACAAAAUGUACCGUGAUCCUGACACCCGGAGUGGAAUGGAAUGGCAAUGGCACUGCCAUAGGACUCGAUGCGAACCCGACACGGGACAAGGUCGGCAGAGGGCUUUUUGGCAAAAAGCUGCGGCACUUUGCGACCCACACCCACCGCCGGUG
rnacentral:lncRNA from 1 species